UUGGGUAUUUCGUCAAUCUCUGUUGACUCCUUAGACUUAUCUGGAUCCUUAAACUCGAUCUGAUCAAUCACUUGCUCAUGAGGUGGUUUAGACAAUGGGUUAUCUUGAUCUUCAGGUGUACCGACAUGGUUGUCUAUUUAUUUUUCAGACUUUAAAGUAUGAAUUGCAUUUAAUUGGUUGAUCUGGACUCCUUGUUGUGGUCCUUGAUUGUUCUAGAUCCUAGGAUUAGCCUC
rnacentral:lncRNA from 1 species